CUGGAGACGGCGACGCUGGUGGGCAUCAUCGUGGGCAUCAUCGCGGCCAUCGGCGUGGCCACGGCGGUCAUCAUAGCGGUGGUCAAGAGGGCGUCCGGCCAAUACUCCUAAGCCCUUCGGCGCCCGAGACGGAUGAGGCCCGAAACAGGGAAAAGCUGCCAGGAAAAGCAAUUGAGAUCCUCUGUUUCCGAGUGACUUUUCUCGUUGGCUAAGACGGUCUGUGGAAACGGAGCUGAGCCCUUGAGAUGCCGAGAAUGGAGUCCGAACAUGGGAUUUUCCUCACUUGCAAUGGAUUAUUAUUACUACUAUUACUAUUGUUAUCGUUAUGAUUAAGUGGUGCCAUGAGUACCUUAGGAUAUAAAUGCCAAAUCAAAGGACAACAAGAAAAGCUCUUCAGCUCGGAGUUAAGUCUACGGGUAACUUAUUGCCUUCGGUGACAUUUCGUUGAACAACCACAUUGCAUUGCUGCACUUGGAAGGACUACGCAUCUCCGUUUUAAGAGGAAACCAUUACGUCCAGUUGGAAGACAGGGAGAGGAAUGGAUAUAUCCUUAUGUUGGCAACUUGUCUAUGGUCAUUAAACAUGCAUUUCCACUUUC